GAUGAACGCUGGCGGCGUGCUUAACACAUGCAAGUCGAACGAUGAAGCCCAGCUUGCUGGGUGGAUUAGUGGCGAACGGGUGAGUAACACGUGAGUAACCUGCCCUUGACUCUGGGAUAAGCCUGGGAAAUUGGGUCUAAUACUGGAUAUGACUUCUCAUCGCAUGGUGGGGGGUGGAAAGAUUUAUUGGUCUUGGAUGGACUCGCGGCCUAUCAGCUUGUUGGUGAGGUAAUGGCUCACCAAGGCGACGACGGGUAGCCGGCCUGAGAGGGUGACCGGCCACACUGGGACUGAGACACGGCCCAGACUCCUACGGGAGGCAGCAGUGGGGAAUAUUGCACAAUGGGCGCAAGCCUGAUGCAGCGACGCCGCGUGAGGGAUGACGGCCUUCGGGUUGUAAACCUCUUUCAGUAGGGAAGAAGCGAGAGUGACGGUACCUGCAGAAGAAGCGCCGGCUAACUACGUG
rnacentral:rRNA from 1 species